AUUGAACGCUGGCGGCAUGCCUUACACAUGCAAGUCGAACGGUAACAGGUCUUCGGAUGCUGACGAGUGGCGAACGGGUGAGUAAUACAUCGGAACGUGCCCGAUCGUGGGGGAUAACGGAGCGAAAGCUUUGCUAAUACCGCAUACGAUCUACGGAUGAAAGCCGGGGACCGCAAGGCCUUGCGCGGACGGAGCGGCCGAUGGCAGAUUAGGUAGUUGGUGGGAUAAAAGCUUACCAAGCCGACGAUCUGUAGCUGGUCUGAGAGGACGACCAGCCACACUGGGACUGAGACACGGCCCAGACUCCUACGGGAGGCAGCAGUGGGGAAUUUUGGACAAUGGGCGAAAGCCGGAUCCAGCCAUGCCGCGUGCAGGAUGAAGGCCUUCGGGUUGUAAACUGCUUUUGUACGGAACGAAAAGACUCUUUCUAAUAAAGAGGGUCCAUGACGGUACCGUAAGAAUAAGCACCGGCUAACUACGUG
rnacentral:rRNA from 1 species